rnacentral:tRNA from 1 species
UGUCCAGGGAUGGGAAUCGAACCCAGAGUGUUCCGCUUACCGGGCAGAUGCCAUUUCCACUAGGCUAAAUUCCGUUCUACAC